AUAAUGGGUCAGCGACUUAUAUUCUGUAGCAAGGUUAACCGAAUAGGGGAGCCGAAGGGAAACCGAGUCUUAACUGGGCGUUAAGUUGCAGGGUAUAGACCCGAAACCCGGUGAUCUAGCCAUGGGCAGGUUGAAGGUUGGGUAACACUAACUGGAGGACCGAACCGACUAAUGUUGAAAAAUUAGCGGAUGACUUGUGGCUGGGGGUGAAAGGCCAAUCAAACCGGGAGAUAGCUGGUUCUCCCCGAAAGCUAUUUAGGUAGCGCCUCGUGAAUUCAUCUCCGGGGGUAGAGCACUGUUUCGGCAAGGGGGUCAUCCCGACUUACCAACCCGAUGCAAACUGCGAAUACCGGAGAAUGUUAUCACGGGAGACACACGGCGGGUGCUAACGUCCGUCGUGAAGAGGGAAACAACCCAGACCGCCAGCUAAGGUCCCAAAGUCAUGGUUAAGUGGGAAACGAUGUGGGAAGGCCCAGACAGCCAGGAUGUUGGCUUAGAAGCAGCCAUCAUUUAAAGAAAGCGUAAUAGCUCACUGGUCGAGUCGGCCUGCGCGGAAGAUGUAACGGGGCUAAACCAUGCACCGAAGCUGCGGCAGCGACGCUGAUGCGUUGUUGGGUAGGGGAGCGUUCUGUAAGCCUGUGAAGGUGUGCUGUGAGGCAUGCUGGAGGUAUCAGAAGUGCGAAUGCUGACAUAAGUAACGAUAAAGCGGGUGAAAAGCCCGCUCGCCGGAAGACCAAGGGUUCCUGUCCAACGUUAAUCGGGGCAGGGUGAGUCGACCCCUAAGGCGAGGCCGAAAGGCGUAGUCGAUGGGAAACAGGUUAAUAUUCCUGUACUUGGUGUUACUGCGAAGGGGGGACGGAGAAGGCUAUGUUGGCCGGGCGACGGUUGUCCCGGUUUAAGCGUGUAGGCUGGUUUUCCAGGCAAAUCCGGAAAAUCAAGGCUGAGGCGUGAUGACGAGGCACUACGGUGCUGAAGCAACAAAUGCCCUGCUUCCAGGAAAAGCCUCUAAGCAUCAGGUAACAUCAAAUCGUACCCCAAACCGACACAGGUGGUCAGGUAGAGAAUACCAAGGCGCUUGAGAGAACUCGGGUGAAGGAACUAGGCAAAAUGGUGCCGUAACUUCGGGAGAAGGCACGCUGAUAUGUAGGUGAAGUCCCUCGCGGAUGGAGCUGAAAUCAGUCGAAGAUACCAGCUGGCUGCAACUGUUUAUUAAAAACACAGCACUGUGCAAACACGAAAGUGGACGUAUACGGUGUGACGCCUGCCCGGUGCCGGAAGGUUAAUUGAUGGGGUCAGCGCAAGCGAAGCUCUUGAUCGAAGCCCCGGUAAACGGCGGCCGUAACUAUAACGGUCCUAAGGUAGCGAAAUUCCUUGUCGGGUAAGUUCCGACCUGCACGAAUGGCGUAAUGAUGGCCAGGCUGUCUCCACCCGAGACUCAGUGAAAUUGAACUCGCUGUGAAGAUGCAGUGUACCCGCGGCAAGACGGAAAGACCCCGUGAACCUUUACUAUAGCUUGACACUGAACAUUGAGCCUUGAUGUGUAGGAUAGGUGGGAGGCUUUGAAGUGUGGACGCCAGUCUGCAUGGAGCCGGCCUUGAAAUACCACCCUUUAAUGUUUGAUGUUCUAAC
rnacentral:rRNA from 1 species